rnacentral:rRNA from 1 species
UACGAAGGGGGCUAGCGUUGCUCGGAAUCACUGGGCGUAAAGCGCACGUAGGCGGAUUGUUAAGUCAGGGGUGAAAUCCUGGAGCUCAACUCCAGAACUGCCUUUGAUACUGAGAAGCUCGAGUCCGGGAGAGGUGAGUGGAACUGCGAGUGUAGAGGUGAAAUUCGUAGAUAUUCGCAAGAACACCAGUGGCGAAGGCGGCUCACUGGCCCGGUACUGACGCUGAGGUGCGAAAGCGUGGGGAGCAAACAGG